rnacentral:rRNA from 1 species
UGCCAGCCGCCGCGGUAAUACGGAGGGGGUUAGCGUUGUUCGGAUUUACUGGGCGUAAAGAGCACGUAGGCGGUUGGGUAAGCCUCUUGGGAAAGCUCCCGGCUUAACCGGGAAAGGUCGAGGGGAACUACUUAGCUAGAGGACGGGAGAGGAGCGCGGAAUUCCCGGUGUAGCGGUGAAAUGCGUAGAUAUCAGGAGGAACACCAAUGGCGAAGGCAGUGCUCUGGGCCGGAACUGACGCUGAGGAGCGAAAGCAUGGGGAGCAAACAGGAUUAGAUA